AAAAUAAUGAGCCUUAUUCUAGUUGUCGAAGUAGAGCGACAAUUGUCGUCACGACUUGAAUUUGAUAUUCUAAAUGGCGAUUACAGUGACACGUGUCGUGGAAUAGCGGGAAAAUGUGUUUCAGGUAUAUUCCAGUUGUCGUUGUAGAGCGACACAUGUCGUAGUGAAACGACGUUUUUUGUCGAAAUGUAUUUAACAAGUGACAAGCGAGAUGGAUACACCAAAAAUUAACAACAAGGAAGCAAUUUGAAGAAUUGGGAAAUUUUAUGACGGAGAACGCCUUUAUUGCGAAAGGCCUUAAAUUUGCUGAGAAUAGCUGCAUAAGCAAAUGCGAGUUUGAUGCGAAAUGGAACCAGCUAACAGAAAAGCUUAAUAGCUUGGGUCCGCCCAUUAGAAGUACUGCAGGAUGGCAGAAGGUAAUUUUCAAUAAAGGAAUCAUGAGAUGAUCCCGGAUUAUUAGCAUCCACAUACCUGGUGCGCAUUUUAUGAUCGCAAACCUUUAAGUCACAUUAUAUUAAAAUAUUAAAAUUGUUGUUUUUUUUUUCAAUUUCAUUACUCUCGGAGUCUGAUGAAUCCAUAAACCAUAAUGCAAAUGACGACAUUUUUUAUUUCCCUCGGAUUAAAAAUAUAAAUAUAUACACCGAAUUUUUUUUUUUAGUUUGAACUUUACUCGCCAAAAUUUCUUUUUAAAAUGUAUCAAUUUCACUUGAAACGUUUCAUUUUCGUUUAUUUCUCGCAGUCACGUCACUCGACAACUAGAAUACCACAUUUCAAGUGAUGUGACAGCGACAACGACAAAUGUCACGUAAGUGACGCGA